rnacentral:rRNA from 1 species
UACGUAGGGUGCGAGCGUUAAUCGGAAUUACUGGGCGUAAAGCGUGCGCAGGCGGUUGUGUAAGACAGGUGUGAAAUCCCCGGGCUUAACCUGGGAAAUGCACUUGUGACUGCACGGCUAGAGUGUGUCAGAGGGGGGUAGAAUUCCACGUGUAGCAGUGAAAUGCGUAGAGAUGUGGAGGAAUACCGAUGGCGAAGGCAGCCCCCUGGGAUAACACUGACGCUCAUGCACGAAAGCGUGGGGAGCAAACAGG